UCCUACGGGACGCAGCCGUAGGGAAUUUUCGUCAAUGGGCGCAAGCCUGAACGAGCGAUGCCGCGUGAGUGAAGAAGGCCUUCGGGUCGUAAAGCUCUGUUGCGGGGGAAAAAAGGCAGCAUCAGGAAAUGGGUGCUGACUGAUGGUGCCCCGCCAGAAAGUCACGGCUAACUACGUGCCAGCAGCCGCGGUAAUACGUAGGAGGCGAGCGUUAUCCGGAAUGAUUGGGCGUAAAGGGUGCGCAGGCGGUCCUGCAAGGCUGGAGUGAAACGCAUGGGGUCAACUGA
rnacentral:rRNA from 1 species